rnacentral:rRNA from 1 species
AUUGAACGCUGGCGGCAGGCCUAACACAUGCAAGUCGAACGAGUGGCGGACGGGUGAGUAAUGUCUGGGAAACUGCCCGAUGGCGGGGGAUAACUACUGGAAACGGUAGCUAAUACCGCAUACCAUCGGAUGUGCCCAGAUGGGAUUAGCUAGUAGGUGGGGUAACGGCUCACCUAGGCGACGAUCCCUAGCUGGUCUGAGAGGAUGACGAGCCACACUGGAACUUAGACACGGUCCAGAUUCCGACGGGAGGCAGCAGUGGGGAAGAUUGCACAAUGGGCGCAAGGCUGAUGCAGCCAUGCCGAGUGUAUGAAGAAGUCCUUCGGGUUGUAAAGUACUUUCAGCGAGGAGGCGUUACUCGCAGAAGAAGCACCUGCUAACUCCGCGCCAGCCGCCGCGGUAAUUC